CAGCAUUUCAUCAUAUGUUCUCAGCAACUGCAUGAAAAGAAGCUUCUUUCCCAUUCCAUCUAUCAGAAGCCCCCGGUACCAGGCUCUAAAAUGACCAACCUGGGUCAAGUGUUCAUUCUUGUACUCUUCUCUAUGGCCAGAGGUUCACAGGUGCUGUGAUGUCUUUCACAGGCAAUGGAUAAAGCAUCCUGCAUUGUCCUAGGCACACUCUGUAGGGAAGAUAUGGGAAUCUGAAGUCAACUUUGCCAAAAUUGGU
rnacentral:lncRNA from 10 species